rnacentral:lncRNA from 1 species
UAUUUUGUUUCAACCACAAGUAUUUAUUGAUGGAUCGAAGAUACAAUUUUAAUGGAACAAUAAGGCACAACCGUGGAUUAAAACACUUUGCUAUACAGCCAAAAGGGGGGAAAAUCUAUAACCUUAGGAACUUUAUGCCAAUCAAGAAGCCUCUAAAGUACCUCUCUAAUAGAUCAGUAUCAGACAUUCUUCCCUUUUACAUAAUUCCUAUAUUACUCCCCUGUUCUCCACCCUUUUCCAUCACUUUGCAG